rnacentral:rRNA from 1 species
GACGAACGCUGGCGGCGUGCUUAACACAUGCAAGUCGAGCGGACGGGCCCUGCUUUUGUGUGGUUCUCGUUUGGCGAACAGGUGAGUAACACGUGAGUAACCUGCCCUUGACUUUGGGGUAUCUUCAGGAAACUGGGGCGAAUACCGGAUAGGAUCUCCUGCUGCGUAGUGGGGGUUGGUAAGUUUCGGCGGUUCGGGCUGGACUCGCUGCUUAUCAGCUUGUUGGUCUGGUAGUGGUUUUCCAAGGGUUUGACGGGUAGGCGGCCUUGGAGCGUGGACGGGCACAUGGGGACUGCGAUACGGACCAGUCGCCUACGGGAGGCAGCAGUGGGGAACAUGGCAGAAUGGGGGGAAGCGUGAUGCAGAAACGCCGCGUGCGUGAUGCCGUCCUUCGGGGUGUAAACAGAUUUGUAAUGUGAUGAAGACUGAGUGACGGUAAUGGGUCAAGAAGCAACGGCUAACUACGUG